ACCUGGGUGGCUCAGUCAGUUGGGCGGCCUGACUUCAGCUCAGGUCAUGAUCUUACGGUUCAUGGGUUCAAGCCCCAUAUCAGGCU
rnacentral:tRNA from 1 species